UGCGGCAUCGCCAAGCGGUAAGGCAACGGACUCUGACUCCGUCAUCCCUAGGUUCGAAUCCUAGUGCCGCAGCCA
rnacentral:tRNA from 1 species